AUGGAUCCAACCAUCCCAGCCUUGGGUACAGAACUGACAUCAAUCAAUAGGACCGAGGAGACCCAUCUUCAACAUUGUGGCAUGGAGAUCAUGAUCCUCAUGUUGCUGCUCCUCAUCGUUGACCUGGUCCAGCUGGCAGGAAAUGCAGUCAUUUCCUCUGGCUCCUGGGAUUCCGCCUGCACAGGAACACCUUCUCCCUCUACACCCUCAACCUGGCCGGGGCCGACUUCUUCCUCUGCUCCCAGAUUUUAGAAAUUGUGAAUUUCUACCAUGACUUCUUCCUUUCCAUCUCCACCUAUUUCACCACUGUGAUGACCUUUCUCUACUUUACAGGCCUGAGCAUGCUGGGCUCCAUCAGCACCAAGCACUGCCUGUCCAUCCUGUGGCCCAUCUAGUACCGCUGCCACCACCCCACACACCUGUCAGCAGUCGUGUGUCCUGCUCUGGGCCCUGUCCCUGCUGCAGAGCAUCCUGGAAUGGAUGUUCUGUGGCUUCCUGUCUAGUGGUGCUGAUUCUGUUUGGUGUGAAACAUCAGAUUUCAUCACAGUCACAUGGCUGAUUUUUUUAUGUGUGGUUCUCUGCGGGUCCAGCCCGGUCCUGCUGGUCAGGAUCCUUUGUGGAUCCCGGAAGAUGCCCUUGACCAGGCUGUACAUGACCAUCCUGCUCAGAGUGCUGGUCUUCCUCCUCUGUGACCUGCCCUUUGGCAUUCAGUGAUUCCUAUUUUUCUGGAUCCACGUGGAUUUGUCACGUUCGUCUAGUUUCCAUUUUCCUGUCCACUCUUAACAGCAGUGCCAACCCCAUUAUUUACUUCUUCAUGGGCUCCUUUAGGCAGCUUCAAAACAGGAAGACUCUCUAGCUGGUUCUCCAGAGGGCUCUGCAGGACACGCCUGAGGUGGAAGAAGGCAGAUGGCGGCUUUCUGAGGAAACCCUGGAGCUGUCAUGAAGCAGAUUG
rnacentral:lncRNA from 1 species